rnacentral:rRNA from 1 species
CACGUAGGGUGCGAGCGUUGUCCGGAAUUAUUGGGCGUAAAGAGCUCGUAGGCGGUGUGUCGCGUCGGCCGUGAAAACCUGCAGCUUAACUGUGGGCUUGCGGUCGAUACGGGCAUCACUGGAGUUCGGCAGGGGAGACUGGAAUUCCUGGUGUAGCGGUGAAAUGCGCAGAUAUCAGGAGGAACACCCGUGGCGAAGGCGGCUCUCUGGGCCGAUACUGACGCUGAGGAGCGAAAGCGUGGGGAGCAAACAGG